rnacentral:rRNA from 1 species
GUAGGUGGCAAGCGUUGUCCGGAAUUAUUGGGGCGUAAAGCGCGCGCAGGCGGGUCCUUUAAGUCUGAUGUGAAAGCCCACGGGCUCAACCGUGGAGGGUCAUUGGAAACUGGGGGGACUUGAGUACAGAAGAGGAAAGCGGAAUUCCAAGUGUAGCGGUGAAAUGCGUAGAGAUUUGGAGGAACACCAGUGGCGAAGGCGGCUUUCUGGUCUGUAACUGACGCUGAGGCGCGAAAGCGUGGGGAGCAAACAGGAUUAGAUACCCUGGUAGUCCACGCCGUAAACGAUGAGUGCUAAGUGUUAGGGGGUUUCCGCCCCUUAGUGCUGCAGCUAACGCAUUAAGCACUCCGCCUGGGGAGUACGGCCGCAAAGGCUG